rnacentral:rRNA from 1 species
CAAGUCUUGACAUCCCUCUGAAUCCUCUAGAGAUAGAGGCGGCCUUCAGGACAGAGGUGACAGGUGGUGCAUGGUUGUCGUCAGCUCGUGUCGUGAGAUGUUGGGUUAAGUCCCGCAACGAGCGCAACCCUUGAUUUUAGUUGCCAGCACUUCGGGUGGGCACUCUAGAAUGACUGCCGGUGACAAACCGGAGGAAGGCGGGGAUGACGUCGGAUCAUCAUGCCCCUUAUGACCUGGGCUACACGCGUGCUACAAUGGCGUAUACAACGAGUUGCCAACCCGCGAGGGUGAGCUAAUCUCUUAAAGUACGUCUCAGUUCGGAUUGUAGUCUGCAACUCGACUACAUGAAGUCGGAAUCGCUAGUAAUCGCGGAUCAGCACGCCGCGGUGAAUACGUUCCC